rnacentral:ncRNA from 1 species
GUAAAGGCAUUGAUGAAGAGGAGUACACGUAAGUUCGUCCAUACCAGAGAGAGUGAUCCAUCGGCUGAGAGACACUUAAGGAAUACGAGACGUCGGAAGGUAGCUUCGGAGCCGGAUGAAUGAACCUGUAACUUAUGAUAAAGUAGAAUUAGUUCAUCCCGGAGUCGUUCCCGUUAAAGAAUAAGAUGAGAUAUAUAGCGAAGGAUUUCUUCCUAUAUAAUGAAGGUGGUACCGCGACUACAAUCGCCCUUUAC